GUGCGCGUUCGUUACGGAUGACGCGUACACGCUGGGUGGACAAUGGCACGCGCUGCCGUUGCCUUUUCCGCCGCGAGGCACUUGGAGCGGUGUUGGCAGCAGCUUCGGCAGCAAAGUGUGUUCAUGUAACGCGGCUCCUUACAACUUCACUCACACAUACACACACACCUUCACUUUCCACGCCGGCAUGGGAUGUUGCUGAAAUUUUGUGCUCUAUGGUGAUAUUGGACGAAAAUGAAAAGCUUAAAAGCCAAGUUCAGGAAAAGUGAUGUGAAUGAUUGGAAU